GGGGGCUUAUCCGUCAUCAAAACUUGGGAGUGUUGCGGAGGCUCGACCGCCUGGGAGGUUUGAAGAGACGCCGUCGGAGGUCGGGAGUCAGUUGGAUCCCCGGAGGGUCACUCCUAUCACGAACUUCUGCUGGGGGGUAUUUUAUAUCCAACACUCUCAGAAAACGUACAGAUGGAGGAAAGGAAGAGAUGAACCCAGCAACUCUAGAAGAAGACAUUCUUCUUCUUCUCUUUGCUCUAACCCAGACACCUAGUUUUGUGUCUAUU
rnacentral:lncRNA from 1 species